rnacentral:ncRNA from 1 species
AAAUAAAAAUUUAAAAUUAGUUUUUUUAUUGAUUAUAAAUUUAAAUUAUAUAUAUAAAUUUAUAUAAUAAAUUUUAUUUAAAUAAUAAAAUUUAUAUUAAUAUAAAGCAUUAAUAUAGUUAAUAAUUUAAUUAUUAGUAAUAUUUAUAAUAUAUGUUAAAUUAGUGCCAGCAUCAGCGGUUAAACUAAUUAAUAUAAAUUAAUAAUAUUUAUUAUUAUAUCAAAUUAAAUAAUAUAUAAUAAUUUUAAAUAUAUUAUGAUAAAAUAAAAAUAUUUAAUUUAUUAUUUUAUUUAUUAAUUUUAUUAAUUAAUUAAUAUAAAAAACUAGGAUUAGAUACCCUAUUAUUGUUAAAUAAAAUAUAUAAAUAAAUUAGUAAAAAUAUUUAAAAUUUAAAAUUUAUGGCGGUAUUUUAAUCUAAUUAGAGGAAUUUGUUGUAUAAUUGAUAAUCCACGAUAGGAUAAACAUUAUAUAUAAUUUUUAUGUAUGUUCGUUAUAAAAAUGUUUUAUAAAAAUAAAAAUUUUUAAAAAAUUUAAGUUAAUUAUAUUUCAGAUCAAUAUGUAAAUUUAUUAUAAUGAAUUAAAUGAAUUACAAUAGUAUAAAAUUAUGGAUAAAAAUUUUAAAAUAAAUUUUAGAAAUUGGAUUUAAUAGUAAUAUAAAUAAAUUAAUUUAUAUGAAUAUAGUUUAAAAUAUGUACAAAUUGCCCGUCACUUCUAUUAUAAUAUACAAUAGAAUAAGUCGUAACAAAGUAAAUAUACUGGAAAGUGUAUUUAGUUAUAUAAUA